ACGUUACGCGCUCGGAUUAUAGUGCGUCAUGAACAAGUGAAUAUCGAGUGAAAACAUCGCGAUCCUCGUCUCUAUCCUGGCUCUCGUGACGCAGUUUCGCGUUCAACGCAUCACGAGAGUAGAUAACUAAGACGGAGAUUCGCGAUAGCAAUCAGAAUUACGCGAAUGUAUAACCUAACCAAAAAAAAGGAGGGCGGCCGCGUAACAAAGAGGACAUUUAUGUUUGGUACUCACGAUUGGAGACAGAUGAAGUUGGAUGGAAGAGUGAAGGUGCGAGAGAGACACAUGGUGAUUGUGUGUGUGCAGUCAGGAAGGAGACGCGAGAGAGAGAAGAAAGAGAAGGAUCACGCGUGCGGUUCCUCGGUUGUUAGGUCGUCGUUACACAGGUUCUUAAAGGUCCCGUGGUCUGGCGUCUGGCUGUGUGUAGAGUGGAGUGUAGCGAGCGCGGGGUUCUCGGUGUCGCCGCUUCGGUCGGUGCGCGCGCAGAGCCUCGACCGGCGUCCGCCAGGAGUCGCUGGCGCUGUGGCCGGCCUCGGGCUGCGCGAGCGGGCCGUUCAGUCUAAUUUGAACCGUCGCGCGCGCCCGACGCGGGGCCACCGACAAUCCCUUCUCCGCCUCGACGUGACACGAGGCUCCUCGUGCAUGCCGCGUGCAACACACGCGCCGAUCCCCCGCACGAUAUUAACCGAACGCGUGCCCGCCAUCCAGCACAACCGACAGAAGCAUCGUUGCCAUCGUAGAAUCGGCGUCGAAGUUGAACCGUGUACUACAAUCGUCUCUUCGGUCGCUCCUCCUCGCGAAUCCGACGACCACGCUCGUUGCUCCGUUCACCGUUUGCCGAGAAUUUUCGCUCGCAAACCAGCGUUUCGUGUUUCGCUCGUUCCCGUUCUUACGUUACUCGCGAUUCGUUGACGUGCGCGAUCGUUGUCGUCGUCGUCGACGACGUUAGUGCCGCGAUCACCGCGAAACGUCGACAAGUCUGGACGGCAACGGGGAGGAGGAGGCGGAAGAAUCGUGUGGUAAAACUGAACAGUGAAGUGCGUCGCGCAAGGGCUAGACUUCGACGGUCGACACUACCAACCGCGCGAGAGCCUCGUGAGUAUAUUUAAAUAGUGUGUCUCUCUGGCUGGUCAGAGGAAGCCGACAGUUUCUUGGUCUUCCUCUUCGUCGUCGUCGUCGUCGUCGUCGUCGUCGUCGUCGUCGUCGUUGUCGUCGUCGUCGUAGUCGUCGUCGUCGUAGUCGUUGUCGUCGUCGUCGUCGUCGUCUUCUUCUUCUGCUUCGUCCUCUUCUUCUUCUUAUUAUUCCGCUCCUUCCUACGUCGUGUGUCAUCAUCCUCGGCUUUUCCUCGUUCGGAGUGCAACGUGAUACGACGAGAGACCGAGCCACGAGAUCGGGGGUGGCGCGAAAUUCUUUAUCAAUUCUCGACAAUUUAUUUCGAGAUACGGAAACAGUGCCGCCGAUUCGCCGCCGGGAGAGUGCUCCAAAAAAACCAAAAUCAAAUACGGUCGAACAGUAUCUCGGAUGACUUGGAUCGUAUCGAUUCGACAACGAUGAAGGAGUAGUCGAUUCAACGUGUACGCACAGGAUACAACGAUCGUCGAUUUGGAGAACCAAGUCUCUCGAUCGAUCCGAAAAAGGUUUGAAAUCCAACGAAAAAGUCGUAGAAGUACUGUAUUAUUUUCAAUAUAGGAGUGUCGCGUAUAUAAACAAAACUAUUUACAACGCAGGCACAACAUUAAGAAGGGACGACGGCGCCUGUUACGGAUACGAGGAAUCGCGAGCAGGAUGUUAUUCUCGAUCGAUCGACAGGAUGAUCGCGAGUUUUGAACUGUACUUCUCGAUGCGGUUUAGAGGGAGUACAAUCGCAGUAGCCGGCGGUCGUGAUCGUUUGCGAUAAUCGCGAAUAGACGCAGUACGAUUUCGUACCGCGGUGUUCCUGUCGCAUCCAUCCCGAGGCAUCAAGGAUGAAGAGGACGGUACUAGGCUGGACGAAGAGCAGACAGCUGAGAAUCUGUCCGAUGGAAGUCCCGAUGUUUUGCUGCUGCCGGUGGUACAACACCUCGUGAACGAGCGAUUCUCAUUAUUCGACGACAGUCGUCUACGGAAGGAAGGAGACCUUGGUAGACGAAGGGGUCGCGAAGACAGCAGUUUCCGAGCGAAUGAGGCUUCGCUGAAGAUUGAACGCGAGCGAGAGACAGGAGGAGAGGGACGCGAUAUCGAUAGCGAAAGAGAUCUUCUCGCGAGAUUUUUAGGCGAAUUCGCGAACAAAGAAAGAGAAAGAGAAAGCACCAGAGAGAAAGAGACAGAAAGAGAGAGGGGGGAGAGAGAGAGUGUGAGAGAUAGAGAGAAAGAGAGAAAGUGGUGUGUGCUGCGUUCGGGGUGACCGAGGUGUCGACCUCACCCCCGAUUAAACCAGCAAGCAGGUCGGAUGAUGUGGGCGUCUCUGUUUUUGGCCGGGAUCUUAAGCGGCUGGUGGGGCGCACUGGCGCUCGCUGCGGCACCCCCCGCCAAUUGGAACUCCCUCGAGGAGACGUCGACGAGGACCACCAGCGACCAUCCACCAUCGAUGAGCAUCGCCGCCGUUGAAAAGCCCCUCGAUUACCGUUUACCAACUUGGAACUUCGUUACGCGAACUAUCGAUAUACGCGAGCAUCGAACAGCCGACCAGACCCUCGCCCAACCUACCCGAGAUUACAAAUUACCGGUUGACGACGACGUUAAACCAACGUCGCGGCUUAACCAACGAUCCGAACAACUUCGGAAGGAACAGCAAGGAAGAAGAUCCGCCUCGAACUUGCAACUCGCCACCGAGAAUGAUAAACGGUUCGUUGCAUCGGAUUCGUGGACGUACCAGGAGAUCGGUGACGAGGGUCCAUCGUCGACGAUCGAGCAAGCUUCUGGCAGCUAUCGAACUCCGACUUUCCCGGUGGGAAACCUUCGUUCCCAGGAUGCUUCGAAGAGAUACACGACUCAGGAAGAGUUCGACGACUCGAUACGCGACGUGUUCGUAUCAUCGUCGAAGCGGGUCAACCGUCGUCUAGAUGACGAGACGGCGAACGUUUAUCCAAAGAUGGAGGAGACCGGAUUGACCCAGCUACCUCGUCACUCGUCCACGCAAACACCGAUUCUGCGUUCGUCCGGGACCGAAUCGUCGAUGGAGAGGCCGCGUGUCAUCAGAUCGACCAAGCAACGACCAAAGAACCGUACGAAAGCGGACUCGCCGAGAGAACAGCGACGAAGAUGCCGGAACAAGGGUUGUCGUGGUCAGAAUUGGUGUCCCGACGUGGACGUUGGGAACAGAGCUUAUCUAGCGCCAACGGUGUUCGAGGGAAAAGCGAGAAGCAUGUCCUCCGUGAGGAAACCAGGCUCGAACUACGCGGUGACGUUCGAGGUGAAACAAGUAUACAAAAGUCAGCCCGGUUUCCAGCCGUUGCAAAAGAACGACAGCGUCAGGCUUCACUUUCGAGACAAAUCGGCGCCCGGCAAGUCGACGGUCUGUGGCUACGACAACGAUGGGAAGCAGCAGCAGCAGCAGCAGCAGCAACAACAACAACAACAACAACAACAACAACAGCAACGCGAUAAUCAGAGUGGUGUGGUGCGAGCCAAUAUUAAGAGGGGUAAAGUGUAUCUAGUGUUUGUGAAUCGCGUGGGACCCAGAAACUUCACGAUCCUCGGUGAGCCGGUGAUACGAAGCAAGAAGAACGAACAGGCGGUACAGGCUGUCAUUCGACCGGAUUACGUGAGGGAGGUUACGUUGUCCGAGCUCAGGGACUCGAUAGCGAGGUUACGGGAGAGAGUGAAGCUCGUAUGCCGAACGAGGGGUUCUCCGCCCCCAAGGGUGCACUGGCUGAAAGACGGUAUACCGCUGCACCCUCGAAGAGGCCUCAGGAUUCAACACAAACGGCGGAGAUCGAAAGUGGUGAUAUCCUCCGCGAAACCCGAGGACAGCGGCAGAUACGAGUGCGUAGCAGAGAGUACUUCCGGUCAUCGAGCCUCACUCGCGGCCCAGCUUCUAGUCGCUCACGAUACGAGAGUUUCGGAAACCACGACAGCGGCCUGGCCGAGGCAGGAGCAGCCGUGUCCGAUAACUGGAGACUUCUGCAUGAACGGUGGUACCUGCCUGUUUUUCGAGACCGUCGGUGAACCAGCAUGCAGAUGCGCGGAAGGCUUCACGGGUCUGCGGUGCGAGACGAAGGACGUCAUCAGCACCGGAAAUAUGGAUAAAUUCUCUUCGUUCGCCGAGGACGUGACGCUCGCCCGCUUCUAGCGCAUCUAGCGGCACUGUCAAGCUUGCACAUCGGGACAUUCAUCGUGUUUUGUUUUGUUGUAGCCUCACCCACAUUCCUUCCCAAUACCCCUUCAGGUUCCUACAUACGCGUCCUCGACUUCUCCACUCUCCUCGGGCUCUCCACGUUUCCCCGCGGUAUCUCCAUUCCCCGACCCGACCAAACGUCUCGAGCUUUCGCGACCUUCUCACCUCAUCCUUCUCGGGACUCCAACGUUUCCCAUUUUCCCGCUUCGUUUCCUACAUCUUCUAUCUUAUGCUCCUGUUCGUCGUUGCCUCGUUUCGUGCCCGCAACGAGUACCUGGCUACGCCGUCAAUUUUCAGAGGAGAGCCCCAGGAGAUGAAGCAGCAAUUCGCCGACCAACGUCAUCCACGCGCAUCCCGCAUCCUGGAUCGUCGAUAAUUCAGCAUCGUCGUCAACUAGUCUGCUCGAAUUCACUGCGGGGGGCAUACUUUCCGGAAGGUUGAGCCUUUCAGGAAGUCCUUCUGAUACGCCAAGCUACGUCCUCUCCGACAACAUCGGCAACGUCCAUUCUUCCACCUUGAUCGUACCGAACAAGAGCAUCGUCGAGUGGUUCGACAUCGUCCAAGAGCAAACACGAAGAACGGAGGAUCUCAAGAAACAAGAGUCGCCAUCCAAUGGAAACACCGUGUUCACGGACGGAAAAAGUAUCGUAGCUGAAUUCGACGUUCGAAAACAACGAGGGAAAUGUCCAGCCAUUCUCUUUUUGCCCCGCUAUUCCUCUCUUUCCCAUGGUUUCCGCAUGAAAAUGUGAGAAAUACGAUAAACGUUGCCGCACCGACUAACGGCACGGGCAAAACUAUCGUGGCCAAAUCAAAUUUAAGUCCCAUGUGUGUAAACUGUAUUUGCAGAGAUAUGUUUUUCCUGGCAUUUCGCGCGGUAUGUCCCAACAGCUUUAAUUUUCUCCCUUGGGAUCGGCGUUGCGCUCGUCCAUCAUUUACGCGUAUCGAAAAUUAAAGCGGGACUCGGAACGCGCCACGUACGUACGUACGCGCAUCGAUUUUUCUUUCGCGAAUCAUCGUCGAGAAAGCGACAACAUCGUCUUCCGACGUUUUCACGCUUUAAAGUCUCCUUUAAUCUUUCUUGAGAAGAGCAAAUCGCAAAUACAUGUUUUCCUUUCUUUUUUCGAACUUCCUAUCGCUCGGGAGGUUUGCACCGGGCGAAAGAACUCGACAGGUAAGAAAAGGGAUAGAGAGGAAAAAAAGAAACGGGGUAGACGUCGUAAACCUUAUCCGCAAGCACGUGCGGAUCGUUAGAACACCACGUGGAGGCGACGAUUUCGUUUUACGGGAUUGCAGGAAGAAAGGCACGACAUGGACGAUCCCGGAUCUUGUAAUAGGAUUUCCGGGAUCAACGAGUCUUCCUACGCGACAGCCAAUGUCUUCGAGGCAGAAACGUAAUUGCGUGAAGCGACGUGAAUUUCGACGAUUUCGAAAACCUGUUUGGCUCGUCCAAUUCGUUCGAUAUAAUUCCAUCGAAACGUUAUCGAACGCAACAACGUGUAUUCUCGUUCGUUUUCAAAGUCAAGCGAAACUAUCAAGAACCAGUUUGCGAUUAAUUCGUCGACAGGAACGGAUCUGCCUCGAUGAACGGCCCCGAUGUUCCAAACGUGGAGCAAUGUUACCGUGAAAAGACGCUUCUCGGUUUUCGAGCGACAGUUCGUCGAAACGUAUGUCAGACGCGUCCAGGAGAGUAUUGUACAAAGUAUUCCUUGUAUCCCUUUGAGCAGCGUGUGUGCGUGCGGUGUGUGCGUCGAACACCAAUCGAUGGAAACGACGAACAGCGAUCGAUUCGUCUAUUCUUCAGGGAUAAAGCAAAAAUCGUGAGAUUGGGUGGAAAUUGGUCGACAGAGUCGUUUGUGAUUCUAGUUUUCGCCUGCAACAAGAGUGGUUGCGUUAUUACGCCGAGACCGAAGAAAUCAGGCUGCACUUUAAUUAACGGAGUUCGCGGCAAAGCAUCGUCGUAAGAAUUGUUACGCCUCGACAGCGAACGAGUAAUUGCAUUUUCGCUGGCGCCGUCGUCGAGAAUCGUAAUAUCGGCCUCGAUUGGCCUCGCCGAAACGAUCGUCGACGGAAAAUAGGAAAUAGCAGGGAACGAUAGUAGCGGUGGAAAACAAGGCGCGUUUAUAAUCAAGUCGAAUGCAACGAUAACAGCCAGCGAGUUACUCGUUGAGAAGAAAAACUAACGGCUAAAAUGCCUCUCUCUCUCUUUCUCUCCUUCUCUCUCUCUCUUUCUCUCGCUUCUCGCGUAUUUUAAUGUUACUCGAGUGAAAUUUGGCAUACAGAUCGAGACCGUGGUGUUUCGCGUUUCCAUCGAUCGGUGAACACACGCACGCUUACUUUUUACAUUUUAGAGCUAUAAAGAAUUACAUAUAGAUAGUUGUUGAACGAACGAGCGAACAGUGUUCCAGAGUUCUUCUUGCGAGAGAAGAGGAAAUACUUUACCAUUCUAGCGAUAUAUCAGAAACUUUGAGAAGAGAAGAAAAUCGUGGCAGCGUAUGAUGUCCGUGCAAGCUUACUAGUGCCGCCGUGCUUUUUCGUUACAAAUUUAUUUCGUCGCUCGUACCUAUCGAACGAUUUGUAUGAAAGUCAUGGUAAGUCAUCGAUGGCGCGCCGUUCCGUCUAGUGCCGUUCCCCUUCCCAAUCCCAAGAUUCUAUUAACUAGCUCCUAUUAAUAUUGGUUUUCAAAUAGAUGACAAUUAUUCGAGUAUCGGGUAUUCGGCUACGUCCGAGAGAUUCUGAUUUCUUUUCACGCUCGAUCUUGUUACCAAGACAAAGAGAAACACGAAUAUCGACACCGGAACGGAACGACGAGCCUGAUCAUAGCGAACAAAAGAGGAAUGUAUUUUAUGAUAUUUUACGCAUAAAAUGAUCGUAAAUCGAAUAUAGCGAUUAGUCCAAGGUAAACUUAAGUAGAGGUGUAUAAAUGAGAACCCAAAGUGUGCAUAAUGUUGCACACGAUAUUUACGAGGGCUGAGAAGUGAACGCGUCGAUUUUCUCGAGCGAGUGAAAAAGGGCCGCGGAACAGUGAUUGCGUGCUAACGAUUGUACCAACGACGAUGAUAGUUAAUUACCGAUAGGCGAUCGUCGAUCAUUAUCGUUAACAUAAGCCCCGUAACGAGAUCAUCCUGUGCCAGGAUCGCAUCAAACGGAAAUGCGACCAACCCACUUCCGGGACGUUACGUUUUUUCCUUUCUACGGAAGUGAAUAAGAACAUCGGCAACUGUUCCGUGGUAAUCGCCCUAUCACGGAUAACACUAAGCGCUACUGUAAAAUAUUGUAUAUUAUUUCACGUUAUUUAUUUUUCAAUGUUUUUACUAGGAGACGCGUUUUUACGAUACUCAAGAGAAUUAUCGCGUAAUGUUAUAGAGACAUGGCUCGUUCUGAUCCGCGGUGCUGUGCUUAUUAUGUGACGACCAAACGGACCUGUCAAUUUCGCACCCUUUUAGUAUUCAUAGCGAUCGUUCAGAGUGAUAGAAUAAAAGUCAAACUAAACUCGAAGGUACAAUAAAGCAAUGGUUUUCAGUCACAAUUCAGAUUUUACAGUCACAGCGGAUCAGCCGAAUUAGAGUGUUUAUAAACUUCAACGUAUUUCCAGCAGCUUUUGCAGUGUGUAAAACUAACCAGAGAAACCGAAGCAAAUCUAGUCUAGGCGAGAUUUAAGAGCGUACAGCUUGCGCGUUAAAGAUUAUUACGAACGUGCCGUCCGCCCUCGAAAUGAUUGCACGUGGUCAUAAGCGUGAAAUGCGCCAACACAUGCGGAUGCAAGCAAGCUUGCCUUGUUCUCGAAAGUUAAGUAAUGUUAGUUUUGAAAAAAAGAGGGCCGAUCGAACGAUUCGUUUUGUACGACGCGUGACAGGGAACGAUUACGUUCCAUGCUGGUCUAAUAGCGAACCAAGUGCACUAUGGAUCGUAUGGCUAACUCUAGCAGCACGAAGUACUAACGAGUUAAUAGCGAAAUUGUCGUAAGGGAGAAACGAACGCUGCAGAUAUUAACGAAGCAUAAGCCGCUGUUGAUGUUUCCUAACGUGGUCUUCGAUUACUGUCGAAGAGAUCGGGUACAAUAGGUACCGAAAACGAGGAUAUUACGACCAAAUACCACUUAUACGACAUCGUAAAAUGAAAUAAAAAACGAUAAAAAACAUUUUAUGUAAGAGACGAAGUUUCUAUUGAAUUUCGGUUGAAGACGCAUCCAAAACGAUAUGAUCCGAAUCCGCCGCAAUUACUUACACCUAACGAAGAGAAAUGCCUAGUCAACAUGUACGUGCUCCCAAAGAAUGUAUUUCCGUUCGGUAUUUAUCCAUUUCGAGAUUUCAUUUCGAUAUUCAUGUAUUACUGUAACAUUCUUUAAUCGUGAAUCGACAUCGAGAAAAAAAGGAAAACAGAACGAAGUAUUUGAUAAAUUUGGAGCACUUGUACAUUUAAGAAUAUUUAAGUAAUGCUAACGAUGUUACUUGCGAUUUGGUAUAUGACAAACGUCAAACACGAAAAAUAUUUUAUUCUAGUCGUAUCUUUCAUGCUUUGCCAAGUAAAAUAAUAUAAUUCCUGUGUUAAGUGUAAUAGUCAAUUAUGUUUUAAUAAAAUCUGCCAAG